rnacentral:rRNA from 1 species
CACGUAGGGCGCGAGCGUUGUCCGGAAUUAUUGGGCGUAAAGAGCUCGUAGGCGGCCUGUUGCGUCCGCUGUGAAAGCCCGGGGCUUAACCCCGGGUCUGCAGUGGAUACGGGCAGGCUAGAGGUAGGCAGGGGAGAAUGGAAUUCCCGGUGUAGCGGUGAAAUGCGCAGAUAUCGGGAGGAACACCAAUGGCGAAGGCAGAUCUCUGGGCCGUAACUGACGCUGAGGAGCGAAAGCGUGGG